AGCCCUCACGCUGCAGCUCUGUAGAGGAGCCCAGCCCUGGUGCCCAGCUGUUCCCACACGAAAUCAGGACUGAGCACAGAUGCUCACAAUGGAGCUCAAAGUGUGCUGGGUUUUUCUUCUUGCUGUUGUGAAAGGGGUCCUGUGUGAGGAGCAGCUGGUGGAGUCCGGAGGAGGCUUGGUGCAGCCUGGGAGCUCCCUGAGACUCUCUUGCGUGGCUUCAGGAUUCACCUUCAGUAGCUACACCAUGUACUGGAUCCGCCAGGCUCCGGGGAAGGGGCUGGAGUGGAUCUCAUACAUCAGUAGCAGUAGUAGUAACAUAAAAUAUGCAGACUCCGUGAAGGGCCGAUUCACCAUCUCCAGGGACAACGGCAAGAACACGGUAUAUCUGCAGAUGAGCAGCCUGAGACCCGACGAUACAGCCAUGUAUUACUGUGCAAGAGACACAGUGUGGGGGCAUCAGUGUGAGCCCAGACAAAAUCCUCCCUGUACUGGCGCUCUGGACCAGCAGGCGGCGCGCGAGACACACAGCUCACAGUAUACCGCAGAGCACAUCUAAAAAUUGUACAAAGGA